UACGUUAAGCGCCAUGUUCAGUGACUGACACUACAUUUACCUUUUGGACUGGUCAAUCACUGGUGCUGCCAGCAUACUGAAAUCAGAUAGCGUGGCAUAAACAGGACGACAAAAGGGGCUUCCACUUAGUGUUCACAUUUUAGGAUAAUCUGGAUUAAUUUUAGACUACCAGACUUUCAGAAGUUAACAGAUUAUGUUGUUUCAUACAGUAUUAAAACUAGAAAUUCAAAUGAGAUUUUUUUGGGGGGAUUCUAAGCUUUUGAAAAGGCCUUUAAAAUUUAUAUUUCUAAAUGACUGCAGUAGACUCAAGUUUCCAAUAUAUAACGGCUGUUACUUAGAAUUAACAAAAAGUUACUAGAAAACUUGAAUACAAAUAUUUUUAACUGGUUAAGGAAAUCUUCAUUACAGACUUCUUUCUUUGUUUAGUGGGAAGUAAUUUAGUUUCAGGCUACAGAGAAGAAACGGAGAGAAAGAUAAUUUUGGAAUUCUAAAGAUCACAAAGGUUCCAAUUGUGUAACAUUUCCGGAGGCUUAAAAAGGUAACAAGAAUUUUUCCUUUUCAUUCAACCUCCAUCUUUUUAUAUACAAGAAUAAUUACAAACUUUAUAAUUGUUAAGUAUUAAAACUAGUACCAAGUCUUAACUGCAAAAAUAUAUACUCUAAAGUUAGUGCAAAAGAUCCAUUUUUAAGGUAAUGAGAACUGUACAUAAUUUUCUUUCACAAUAAAUUGAAACUAGAAUUCUAUAAAGGUCAGAUUAACCCUAAAUGAUGAAAGACUGGCACAGCAACAAGAUGUAAAAGAUUAUACCAGAUAGAUUUGUGCUGUCACCUACCAGUAAAUAAUUUGUACCCAGUGAUUUAGUCGUAUGUAUAAUUACUGUAAAACACACAACCACUGGCAUUUUACACCACGCAGAGUUAAGGCAAUCUUGCUGCUCCUAAGGGCUUUUAACAAAAGGCAUAAUUGUCAGGCAUGUGAGGUCAUGAUUUUCUUAAAUCUGGCAAACAAGCACAAUAGUUUUGUAUUGACUUAAUUGAUUUAUCCUAAAAAAAACUAUUUACAAAUGCACAAAUAAACAUACAAAUCUAUAUAUUUUACAAGAAUAAAACUGCAGUGCAAGUUUAUCCCACAGGUUUUAAAAAGUGACCAAUAACCAUUUACUGGGCCUGAAACAAUUUCUGGUCCAGGCUAUACAUACGGCACUUUUAAGGAUGUUCAAAUUUUGUGAAAUUAAAGCCAAUUUCAUUUAAACUGACUGAUGUAUAAUAUUAAAUUAUAAAGCUAUUGUAUAUCAACAUGCUAUUGGGAAGUGGAUGGAAGUAACUGGAUAUUCAAGAUAAAAUCCAUUAAGGAAAAUAUUACAAAAUAUGAAGGGUGAAGAUAAAUGUAUUAAAUUUAAAAGUCAGGCAAGGUGGCUGUCAGCAGACUUCAGGUAAUUUUGAAAUUAAUGACUACAGGUGAGUUUACUAGUAGUCACUUAGACCCCUUUUGGAAAACUGCAAUACAUAAUCUAUAAAUUUUAAUAAAUAUAAUAUGGCUGUAUAUACGCAUACAUACACAGCCACAUUCACACAGAGUUUGCUCUUAAAACAUUUCAUUUGUAUUAGGGUUAGCCAAGUUUAAUUUGUCAUUCCCCAAACCCAGUUAGCUUCAAAUAUAAACAAUGCCAAUGACGAAUGCAAUUUCUCAUCAAACUGCAAAUAUUGAGAAAUCCAGACGGUUUUCAGAAGAGGCAGAUACACCGUUAAGAAUAAACCCUGGGGCAUUUUAAUUGUAUUUUCUUAUUUCUAGGUGAUUUGGUAUGUUAGGUUUCAUAUGUUGUCCCAUAAAUAGUUAGACAAUUUUGGUUUUCACCAAUUCUUAGCAUUUGGAACAAACCUUUAAAGUUUUCAGACUGAGUCUAUUCCCCCCAGCAUUGUGUAUCUGAAAUGUAGUUUAAAUGAGAGGGGCUCCAAAACACUUCCUGCACCAUUCCACACUGACACUUGGUGGAAUAUCAAUUUUCUGCAACUUUUCAAGGACUUCUGAAGAUAGACUAUUGUACGCAAGUCCAUAUUCAUUAUCAAAAGCCUCUGAAAAAGACAAUUUCAAAAAAUGCAGUUAUAAUGUGUUAAAGAAUUUAUGCAUUUAUAUAUGGUAGUCCAAUCAUAUAUACACACACACCACAUAAUCAAAAGUAGAAGUCUUUCUAAAGGCAAGUAGAAUUUUAAAAUUACUUUAGGAAAUAAAAUUACUUGAAAAUAAAGCGUAAAAUUACAUUUGGAAAUAGUAAAAUGUAAGGAAACAGAAAAUAGUGCUCUAAUCAACUUACCAAUAUCAAUAUUCUCUCUUCCAAGAGAUACUAAUGAUAAGAAGAGGAUUUCUCUGUAUAAACUCCUAUAAAACAAAUAUUUUUAGAGUCAAUAGGCUAAAAGUAUAGAAAUAAAUAUGUGAAGGCAUUUUUAACUGUUUAAAAAAAAAUUAAGUUCUCUGGUCUAACAAUGUCCUAGUUUUGAUAUGUGGCACAGUUAUGAGAUGGCACCUUUGGGAGAAGGGUUCUUAACUAUUUUUACAACUACUUCCUUCGUAUAUCUAUUUAAGUU